GCCUUAUUCUUUCAGGUAUAGGGGCCUAUCUAGUAAAUAGAAGGUCGCUGGUUCGAUUCCAUCAUGAGGCA
rfam:Angiostrongylus costaricensis strain Costa Rica genome assembly, scaffold: ACOC_contig0002249